GAACGCUUCUUUUUCCCCGGAGCUUGCUCCACCGGAAAAAGAGGAGUGGCGAACGGGUGAGUAACACGUGGGUAACCUGCCCAUCAGAAGGGGAUAACACUUGGAAACAGGUGCUAAUACCGUAUAACAAUCAAAACCGCAUGGUUUUGAUUUGAAAGGCGCUUUCGGGUGUCGCUGAUGGAUGGACCCGCGGUGCAUUAGCUAGUUGGUGAGGUAACGGCUCACCAAGGCCACGAUGCAUAGCCGACCUGAGAGGGUGAUCGGCCACAUUGGGACUGAGACACGGCCCAAACUCCUACGGGAGGCAGCAGUAGGGAAUCUUCGGCAAUGGACGAAAGUCUGACCGAGCAACGCCGCGUGAGUGAAGAAGGUUUUCGGAUCGUAAAACUCUGUUGUUAGAGAAGAACAAGGAUGAGAGUAACUGUUCAUCCCUUGACGGUAUCUAACCAGAAAGCCACGGCUAACUACGUGCCAGCAGCCGCGGUAAUACGUAGGUGGCAAGCGUUGUCCGGAUUUAUUGGGCGUAAAGCGAGCGCAGGCGGUUUCUUAAGUCUGAUGUGAAAGCCCCCGGCUCAACCGGGGAGGGUCAUUGGAAACUGGGAGACUUGAGUGCAGAAGAGGAGAGUGGAAUUCCAUGUGUAGCGGUGAAAUGCGUAGAUAUAUGGAGGAACACCAGUGGCGAAGGCGGCUCUCUGGUCUGUAACUGACGCUGAGGCUCGAAAGCGUGGGGAGCAAACAGGAUUAGAUACCCUGGUAGUCCACGCCGUAAACGAUGAGUGCUAAGUGUUGGAGGGUUUCCGCCCUUCAGUGCUGCAGCUAACGCAUUAAGCACUCCGCCUGGGGAGUACGACCGCAAGGUUGAAACUCAAAGGAAUUGACGGGGGCCCGCACAAGCGGUGGAGCAUGUGGUUUAAUUCGAAGCAACGCGAAGAACCUUACCAGGUCUUGACAUCCUUUGACCACUCUAGAGAUAGAGCUUCCCCUUCGGGGGCAAAGUGACAGGUGGUGCAUGGUUGUCGUCAGCUCGUGUCGUGAGAUGUUGGGGUUAAGU
rnacentral:rRNA from 1 species